GGGUUGUGAGGUUAAGUGACUAAGCGUACACGGUGGAUGCCUAGGCAGUCAGAGGCGAUGAAGGACGUGCUAAUCUGCGAUAAGCGUCGGUGAGCUGAUAUGAAGCGUUAUUAGCCGGCGAUGUCCGAAUGGGGAAACCCAGUGCAAUCCGUUGCACUAUCGUUAAGUGAAUCCAUAGCUUAACGAGGCGAACCAGGGGAACUGAAACAUCUAAGUACCCUGAGGAAAAGAAAUCAACCGAGAUUCCCCCAGUAGCGGCGAGCGAACGGGGAAGAGCCCAGAACCUGAAUCAGUUUGUGCAUUAGUGGAAGCGUCUGGAAAGUCGCGCGAUACAGGGUGAUAGCCCCGUACACGAAGGUGCACAGCUGUGAGUUCGAUGAGUAGGGCGGGACACGUGUUAUCCUGUCUGAAUAUGGGGGGACCAUCCUCCAAGGCUAAAUACUCCUGACUGACCGAUAGUGAACCAGUACCGUGAGGGAAAGGCGAAAAGAACCCCGGCGAGGGGAGUGAAAUAGAACCUGAAACCGUGUACGUACAAGCAGUGGGAGCACCCUUUUGGGUGUGACUGCGUACCUUUUGUAUAAUGGGUCAGCGACUUAUAUUUUGUAGCAAGGUUAACCGAAUAGGGGAGCCGUAGGGAAACCGAGUCUUAACUGGGCGUCUAGUUGCAAGGUAUAGACCCGAAACCCGGUGAUCUAGCCAUGGGCAGGUUGAAGGUUGGGUAACACUAACUGGAGGACCGAACCGACUAAUGUUGAAAAAUUAGCGGAUGACUUGUGGCUGGGGGUGAAAGGCCAAUCAAACCGGGAGAUAGCUGGUUCUCCCCGAAAGCUAUUUAGGUAGCGCCUCGUGAACUCAUCUUCGGGGGUAGAGCACUGUUUCGGCUAGGGGGUCAUCCCGACUUACCAACCCGAUGCAAACUACGAAUACCGAAGAAUGUUAUCACGGGAGACACACGGCGGGUGCUAACGUCCGUCGUGAAGAGGGAAACAACCCAGACCGCCAGCUAAGGUCCCAAAGUCAUGGUUAAGUGGGAAACGAUGUGGGAAGGCACAGACAGCCAGGAUGUUGGCUUAGAAGCAGCCAUCAUUUAAAGAAAGCGUAAUAGCUCACUGGUCGAGUCGGCCUGCGCGGAAGAUGUAACGGGGCUAAACCAUGCACCGAAGCUGCGGCAGCAACGCUUAGGCGUUGUUGGGUAGGGGAGCGUUCUGUAAGCCGUUGAAGGUGGCCUGUGAGGGCUGCUGGAGGUAUCAGAAGUGCGAAUGCUGACAUAAGUAACGAUAAAGCGGGUGAAAAGCCCGCUCGCCGGAAGACCAAGGGUUCCUGUCCAACGUUAAUCGGGGCAGGGUAAGUCGACCCCUAAGGCGAGGCCGAAAGGCGUAGUCGAUGGGAAACAGGUUAAUAUUCCUGUACUUGGUGUUAUUGCGAAGGGGGGACGGAGAAGGCUAGACCGGCCGGGCGACGGUUGUCCCGGUUUAAGCGUGUAGGUGUGAUGACCUGGCAAAUCCGGUUAUCUUUAACACUGAGGCGUGAUGACGAGGCACUACGGUGCUGAAGUGGUUAAUGCCCUGCUUCCAGGAAAAGCCUCUAAGCUCCAGAUAACACUGAAUCGUACCCCAAACCGACACAGGUGGUCAGGUAGAGAAUACCAAGGCGCUUGAGAGAACUCGGGUGAAGGAACUAGGCAAAAUGGUGCCGUAACUUCGGGAGAAGGCACGCUGGCAUGUAGGUGAAGUCCCUCGCGGAUGGAGCCGAAGCCAGUCGAAGAUACCAGCUGGCUGCAACUGUUUAAUAAAAACACAGCACUCUGCAAACACGAAAGUGGACGUAUAGGGUGUGACGCCUGCCCGGUGCUGGAAGGUUAAUUGAUGGGGUCAGCCGCAAGGCGAAGCUCUUGAUCGAAGCCCCAGUAAACGGCGGCCGUAACUAUAACGGUCCUAAGGUAGCGAAAUUCCUUGUCGGGUAAGUUCCGACCUGCACGAAUGGCGUAAUGAUGGCCAGGCUGUCUCCACCCGAGACUCAGUGAAAUUGAACUCGCUGUGAAGAUGCAGUGUACCCGCGGCAAGACGGAAAGACCCCGUGAACCUUUACUAUAGCUUGACACUGAACAUUGAACCUUGAUGUGUAGGAUAGGUGGGAGGCUUUGAAGUGUGGACGCCAGUCUGCAUGGAGCCGACCUUGAAAUACCACCCUUUAAUGUUUGAUGUUCUAACCUGGUCCCGUGAUCCGGGAUAGGGACAGUGUCUGGUGGGUAGUUUGACUGGGGCGGUCUCCUCCCAAAGAGUAACGGAGGAGCACGAAGGUUAGCUAAUCCUGGUCGGACAUCAGGAGGUUAGUGCAAAGGCAUAAGCUAGCUUGACUGCGAGAGUGACGGCUCGAGCAGGUGCGAAAGCAGGUCUUAGUGAUCCGGUGGUUCUGAAUGGAAGGGCCAUCGCUCAACGGAUAAAAGGUACUCCGGGGAUAACAGGCUGAUACCGCCCAAGAGUUCAUAUCGACGGCGGUGUUUGGCACCUCGAUGUCGGCUCAUCACAUCCUGGGGCUGAAGUAGGUCCCAAGGGUAUGGCUGUUCGCCAUUUAAAGUGGUACGCGAGCUGGGUUUAGAACGUCGUGAGACAGUUCGGUCCCUAUCUGCCGUGGGCGUUGGAAGAUUGAGAGGGGCUGCUCCUAGUACGAGAGGACCGGAGUGGACGCACCGCUGGUGUUCGGGUUGUGAUGCCAAUUGCAUUGCCCGGUAGCUACGUGCGGAAAAGAUAAGCGCUGAAAGCAUCUAAGCGCGAAACUUGCCUCGAGAUGAGUCUUCCCUUGGACCUUGAGUCCACUGAAGGAACGUUUAAGACUAAGACGUUGAUAGGCUGGGUGUGUAAGCGUAGCGAUACGUUGAGCUAACCAGUACUAAUGAUCCGAGAGGCUUAACCUUACAACACCGAAGGUGUUUUAG
rnacentral:rRNA from 1 species